AUUAUUAUUUUUUUUUUGUAGAGUUAUGUAAUAAUACAACGUUCAGCAACUAUCAAUGCAACGAAACACCAGGGGUCAAUUAUAUCCAAAAACCUCCAACUCCAUACGAACUGACUGCUGAAACAAGAAGCAGCAGUCCCAUUUACAUCACUGAUACUCCACCCAACAGCUCCACAAUUCCAGGGUGUGAUUCUCCUGCGUAUGCCAAUAACGGUAAUCAAUCUCCAUACAAUGUAAUCCUGAACUCUCCAUCCUACUCUCCAU